UUUAGGAAAUGAAUUAGAAGACAAUGGAUGUAAUUUGGCUGAGGAUUCAAAAGCCGAACUAACACAAUAGUAGUGUGUUAACCCGUAACUUAUGAGAAUGCUUAGGUUGGUAAGGUGUCAAUGGAAGGUUUGUUAAGUGGAUAGAAACUUCGACCCGCUAUCAAAAAUGAUAGGAACCUCAGUACGAAUCGAACGCCACACUUUCGGGAUUAAAGUGAUAAGUUCGGAUAGAAAGACGGGUUGACGCCACAAGGGUUACUUGAUAAGUCAGACGAGUCUUUGGAGAACAAUGAGAGUUGAAAACAAACUCACAAAGUAAUCAGAUUUCAUAUAAAGUUUAAAAGUAUAUUGUCUAACCCCAAAACAAUUACAAAGCAAACUAUUUAUAGCUAAAUUCCUAGGCUAGCCGAAUGGACACUUGAGCAGCUAAAAAGUCAGCUUAUUUUCAAAGCAAAUGAAUUGAAAAUUUCAUGUAGCUUCCUCGAACGUCCCUUGAAGCUUUCUUGAAGAUUCCCAGCUUUGGAGACGUCAAUGGACAGCCAUUUGAUGUCUUCUAAUAGCCUUGAAUUAAUGAGGUGAUGGUUGAGCUGAAAUGGCUGAAUAGAAUUGUUUAGAUUGGCCUAAAUUCGUCCAACUUGUGUGAAAGCUCUUAUGGAUGCUUGGGGAGCUCAAAGGCCAACUUGGGGAAGAGAAAUGGGCUACCAAAUAAAUGUGAGGAGUCAUAGCUUUUAAUCUCCACGAAGAGGCACAUUCCCUCACAUGGACGGCACAUUUAUGGCAUUUGAGAAGAACGAAAAUGGCUCAUGGAAAAGAGGAAUCAGCAACUCUUCAUGGAUCCCUUGCUGUGCACGAAAAAAAUAAAUCAGCAGCUCAUUAAGUGGACGUUCCUUGCAUGUGGAACAUCACAUUUAAUUCAUGGCUUUGCUACACAAUAAAUCAGCAAGCAGCUUCUUUAAUUUCGUCCAUUAAAUGGCCACAUGAAAAAGCACAAGCAGCUCCUUAAAUGCUUCCAGCAUCCAUUGAAUGGCCGUCCAUAAUUGCUUUUGCUGCACAUUAAUUCCAGCAAUUUUAAUUUCGGCAACAACCACUUCUUUUAAUGCUGUCCAUGUACCUGCAUGCAACAACCAUUAAUUCAUGUAAAGACAACAUUAAAUGGUUAACUAGACAUAUUUAAUUCGGCAGCCACAAUUAACUUCAACUGGACACCAUUUAAGACAUCAUUAAAUUCGGUUGUAGCAAAACAAAUUAAAUGAUGUAAUGACAAUUAAAUUCAGCUGGACACCUUAAAAACAUACAUUAAAUUCAUCCAAACAUGUAGCAGCAGCAUUAAUUUCGUCCAGACAUAUUUAUAACAUGCAGUGGCAGCAUUAAAUUCAUCAUAAUAAAUAGAUGUAAUAGCCUAGACAUAUUUAUGCUAUGUAUGAAAAUAGGACACAUUAAAAAAAACAUAAAAAUAAAACAUAUUUAAAACACCUAAUUAAAAUGUCCAAUUUUAAUAAAUUUAAUACUAACACUUAGUUGUGCUGGAAUAAAUAAAUAAACUAACUUAUUCAAUUUAUUUUAGCAAAUGAAAAUUUAAGAAUUAAAAUAAACUCAAAUUGAGCAAAAUGAUCCCAUUGAGCUGGAAACAAGCUAAACGAAGCUCAGCGAGAUGCAAUUGAGCUAAUUUAGCUCGCAUGGGUGUGCAAGAAAUACUUAUGGAGCUGAUCGAAAAAUGUGCCCGAGGCGUGGUCGUAUCAUCCCCUCCCUCUUUAAGGCGAUUUGUCCUCAAAUCGGGCCAUUUGCUCGAGAAAUUUUUUUUCAAGAUCUCGAACCCUUUUGUUCAUGAUCCGAAUAGAAUCAUUUCCUAAACUUUGAAAAUCACAAAUGGUUCGAUAAGAAAUUGAAUUAUUUCCACGCCCUCCCUCUUUAAGAGGGAAACAAUUUAGAGUGUCACCUUUCCAAAAUGAAUCAAAAAGUUCAUGGAUAGAAACAAAUCCGAACCACAAAAUAGUCGAAAGGCAUAAUCUCGAAAGUCAAAAUUGCAAAAUCCAAACCCUUUUAACAAGAACAAAGAAUAAUAAUCUCCGGGGUCAAAAACGAAGCUUCCUCUUGCUUGGCUUGACGUUAACUUAGGAAUGUAUAUCCCGGGUUUAAAAAUGCGAUUUUCAUUGGUCGUUUCGCAACGCAACAAAAAUUUCUUCUUCACCAAGACUUCACACAUGUCAAGCAAAUAGGAGUUAGACAUACAUACAUUCGAGCAAUCAAACCCUUCAUAUUUCAUUCGCACACGUAAACAAGAAAAGUUCACACCACAAUUUAGAUAAUUCACAUGAUCAUCACAAGCACACAGAUUAGAUGUCAACUUUUUAUCACACAAUCCUAAAUUUUGUUUGGGCUUACCUGGACUUACUUCUUGAUCAAUCUUGACAAUGAUAGGCUCAUGAGCAGAAAGAUAUUUCACAUUACUAUGUAAAACACAUUUAUCAACAAUCAAAUUAUGAUUUCCAAUCAGAUCAAGAUGAAAAACUUUCUCACAAACUAAGUCUUUGCUAAUCUCGUCAUCAAGAAUCAAGUAAGAUUGAGAAGACUCAAAUACAGUAGAUCCCUUACAUGGCUUACCUUUAAGCACUUGUGGACUAGGGUCAUCUACGAUCUUACCUUUCUCGACUAAUCGAAAUCGUUUCUCCUUAGAAAAGUAUUGAAGUUGAAAUUGAUCGAUGGGAUUUCGAGAAACCUGAAAAGUAGAAACAAAACAAGGAAAAUUCAUAGGAUGGUUAGUAACAACACUCCUUUCUUGUUCACUUUCAUCUUUUUCGCUUAUUUCUUUUUCCAACUCAUUUUCAAAUCCUCUUUCCUUUACCAUAUCACUCAUUUCUUUUGCACUCUCAUUUCUUCCUUCAAUCUCACUCUCUUUUUCAGUUUUCUUUUCUUUUUCACACUCGUUUUUAUUCUCAAUCUCAUUUUCAAUUUUCUUUUCUAUCUCACACUCAUCUUCUUUUUCUUUCAUUUCUUUUUCAUUUUCAUUUUCUCGCUCGCGCUCUUUUUCUUUUUCACAUGCUAUUUCAAUUCCAUUACAAAAGUAGAAAUCAUCAAAAUGAGAAUCCUUUUGUUGAGAAUAAGAAAAGGAUUCUUCAUACAAAUGACAAUCAUCUCUUUGUAAUAAAUCUUCCGUAGCCGAGUACUUUGACACUCUUGAAACACGUGCACCUCUUCGUAAAUAAUCCUUUGUAGAUGAAUAAAUUGAGGCACUUGUAGAGACACGUUUACUUUUUCGUUUAUCAUCUCGGAAGGACUCAAACUCGGAGUUUGCUUAUCUUGGUCUCGAACGCCUUGUUGAAUAAACGUCUUGAUAAGAGUCUCUUGUCGAGUAGUGUUGUCGGGAUGAUCUUAACUCCGUCUCAUGACUCGAUGAAAUUUGCUUUUGUUGGGCUCUUGUCUUUAUUCGAUCCAAUCUAUCAUGCAAUUUAUCAAAGUUUGAUUUCACCAUUCUACGCAUUUCUUGCAUCAAAUAUUGGAAUUCUGAUUCGGAAAAUUCUUCUUGAGACAUUUUUUUUAAUCACACAACAAAAUUCACACUUCACUCACAAAUAAAAUUCACACAAUAUGGCUUUUACUUCUCUCGAAUGGUCUCACCAAUCACUCUUGCCUUUUUUUUCCACUCGAUUUUCGCCUCUCAAAGUUCUUCGCAAACUAAAUCGACGAAUCAAUACCGUUUGGCGUCGGCUUACAAAAUUGAUUUGGCUUGGUGGGUAAUGAUGUCGGAAAUGGUAGGCUAUAAAACAAAAUAGGAAUGGUUAAGUGUGGCUAUAUAGAUAUGGUCCUUCGGGCAACAAGCAAUGCUUUUACAAACCCAAAAUGAAUUUCAAUCACUCUUUUUUUUUUCAAUUUCGGUUUUUUUUUCUUUUUUUUUAAUUCCGAAUUUUUUUUCUUCUUUUUUUUCUUCAAUACUAAAUACAAAAAGUAAAAAUAAAUUGAAUACAAACUUUUUUUUUGAAUUUUUUUUCGAAUUUUUUUUUCAAGUUUUUUUUUAUUUUUUUUACAAUACCGUAAUACCGAUAACGUCAAUCUUACUCCGAUUCAGCUAGCGCUGAUACCAAAUGAUACGCUCCGGCUCGAGAAAGAGAGUCGAGUCGUAGAUGUGCCCGAUCGUGAAUUGGAGUAAUUUGAAAGCUUUACAAAAUAGGCUAGAAGAAAAGGAAUUAUUUAGGCUCAAAAGAGUUUUGUUGGUUUAGGAAAUGAAUUAGAAGACAAUGGAUGUAAUUUGGCUGAGGAUUCAAAAGCCGAACUAACACAAUAGUAGUGUGUUAACCCGUAACUUAUGAGAAUGCUUAGGUUGGUAAGGUGUCAAUGGAAGGUUUGUUAAGUGGAUAGAAACUUCGACCCGUUAUCAAAAAUGAUAGGAACCUCAGUACGAAUCGAACGCCACACUUUCGAGAUUAAAGUGAUAAGUUCAGAUAGAAUGACGGGUUGACGCCACAAGGGUUACUUGAUAAGUCAGACGAGUCUUUGGAGAACAAUGAGAGUUGAAAACAAACUCACAAAGUAAUCAGAUUUCAUAUAAAGUUUAAAAGUAUAUUGUCUAACCCCAAAACAAUUACAAAGCAAACUAUUUAUAGCUAAAUUCCUAGGCUAGCCGAAUGGACACUUGAGCAGCUAAAAAGUCAGGUUAUUUUCAAAGCAAAUGAAUUGAAAAUUUCAUGUAGCUUCCUAGAAUGUCCCUUGAAGCUUUCUUGAAGAUUCCCAGCUUUGGAGACGUCAAUGGACAGCCAUUUGAUGUCUUCUAAUAGCCUUGAAUUAAUGAGGUGAUGGUUGAGCUGAAAUGGCUGAAUAGAAUUGUUUAGAUUGGCCUAAAUUCGUCCAACUUGUGUGAAAGCUCUUAUGGAUGCUUGGGGAGCUCAAAGGCCAACUUGGGGAAGAGAAAUGGGCUGCCAAAUAAAUGUGAGGAGUCAUAGCUUUUAAUCUCCACGAAGAGGCACAUUCCCUCACAUGGACGGCACAUUUAUGGCAUUUGAGAAGAACGAAAAUGGCUCAUGGAAAAGAGGAAUCAGCAACUCUUCAUGGAUCCCUUGCUGUGCACGAAAAAAAUAAAUCAGCAGCUCAUUAAGUGGACGUUCCUUGCAUGUGGAACAUCACAUUUAAUUCAUGGCUUUGCUGCACAAUAAAUCAGCAAGCAGCUUCUUUAAUUUCGUCCAUUAAAUGGCCACAUGAAAAAGCACAAGCAGCUCCUUAAAUGCUUCCAGCAUCCAUUGAAUGGCCGUCCAUAAUUGCUUUUGCUGCACAUUAAUUCCAGCAAUUUUAAUUUCGGCAACAACCACUUCUUUUAAUGCUGUCCAUGUACCUGCAUGCAACAACCAUUAAUUCAUGUUAAGACAACAUUAAAUGGUUAACUAGACAUAUUUAAUUCGGUAGCCACAAUUAACUUCAACUGGACACUAUUUAAGACAUCAUUAAAUUCGGUUGUAGCAAAACAAAUUAAAUGAUGUAAUGACAAUUAAAUUCAGCUGGACACCUUAAAAACAUACAUUAAAUUCGUCCAAACAUGUAGGAGCAGCAUUAAUUUCGUCCAGACAUAUUUAUAACAUGCAGUGGCAGCAUUAAAUUCGUCAUAAUAAAUAGAUGUAAUAGCCUAGACAUAUUUAUGCUAUGUAUGAAAAUAGGACACAUUAAAAAAAACAUAAAAAUAAAACAUAUUUAAAACACCUAAUUAAAAUGUCCAAUUUUAAUAAAUUUAAUACUAACACUUAGUUGUGCUGGAAUAAAUAAAUAAACUAACUUAUUCAAUUUAUUUUAGCAAAUGAAAAUUUAAGAAUUAAAAUAAACUCAAAUUGAGCAAAAUGAUCCCAUUGAGCUGGAAACAAGCUAAACGAAGCUCAGCGAGAUGCAAUUGAGCUAAUUUAGCUCGCAUGGGUGUGCAAGAAAUACUUAUGGAGCUGAUCGAAA
rnacentral:lncRNA from 1 species